CAUUAUCUUCAGGGCAGAGUACAAUUCUCUACCGGCGGUAUUUUACAGUUGUUUAAUAAACUUACUUGUAAAGAGCCCGCGAGCUUUACUAGGGUUUCUUAGUAUAGCAGAUCUGGUCUAAGCCAGAGCCGACGGUCAUAGUCCGGAUGGAAGAAGAGAAUA
rnacentral:ncRNA from 2 species